AUUGAACGCUGGCGGCAUGCCUUACACAUGCAAGUCGAACGGCAGCACGGGAGCAAUCCUGGUGGCGAGUGGCGAACGGGUGAGUAAUGUAUCGGAACGUGCCCAGUCGUGGGGGAUAACGUAGCGAAAGCUACGCUAAUACCGCAUACGAUCUAUGGAUGAAAGCGGGGGAUCGCAAGACCUCGCGCGAUUGGAGCGGCCGAUAUCAGAUUAGGUAGUUGGUGGGGUAAAGGCCCACCAAGCCUUCGAUCUGUAGCUGGUCUGAGAGGACGACCAGCCACACUGGAACUGAGACACGGUCCAGACUCCUACGGGAGGCAGCAGUGGGGAAUUUUGGACAAUGGGCGCAAGCCUGAUCCAGCAAUGCCGCGUGCAGGAUGAAGGCCUUCGGGUUGUAAACUGCUUUUGUACGGAGCGAAAAGGCUCUCUCUAAUACAGGGGGCUCAUGACGGUACCGUAAGAAUAAGCACCGGCUAACUACGUGCCAGCCGCCGCAGUAA
rnacentral:rRNA from 1 species